rnacentral:rRNA from 1 species
GACGAACGCUGGCGGCGUGCUUAACACAUGCAAGUCGAGCGGUAAGGCCCUUUCGGGGGUACGACGAGCGGCGAACGGGUGAGUAACACGUGGGUGACCUGCCCUCAGCUCUGGGAUAAGCCUGGGAAACCGGGUCUAAUACCGGAUAUGACUCCAUGACGCAUGUUGUGGGGUGGAAAGCCUUGUGCGGCUGAGGAUGGGCCCGCGGCCUAUCAGCUUGUUGGUGGGGUGAUGGCCUACCAAGGCGACGACGGGUAGCCGGCCUGAGAGGGCGACCGGCCACACUGGGACUGAGACACGGCCCAGACUCCUACGGGGGCG